rnacentral:rRNA from 1 species
AAGUGACGGUACCUGCAGAAGAAGCGCCGGCUAACUACGUGCCAGCAGCCGCGGUAAUACGUAGGGCGCAAGCGUUGUCCGGAAUUAUUGGGCGUAAAGAGCUCGUAGGUGGCUUGUCGCGUCUGCCGUGAAAACCCGAGGCUCAACCUCGGGCGUGCGGUGGGUACGGGCAGGCUAGAGUGUGGUAGGGGAGACUGGAACUCCUGGUGUAGCGGUGAAAUGCGCAGAUAUCAGGAAGAACACCGAUGGCGAAGGCAGGUCUCUGGGCCAUUACUGACACUGAGGAGCGAAAGCAUGGGUAGCGAACAGGAUUAGAUACCCUGGUAGUCCAUGCCGUAAACGUUGGGCACUAGAUGUGGGGGACAUUCCACGUUUUCCGCGUCGUAGCUAACGCAUUAAGUGCCCCGCCUGGGGAGUACGGCCGCAAGGCUAAAACUCAAAGGAAUUGACGGGGGCCCGCACAAGCGGCGGAGCAUGCUGAUUAAUUCGAUGCAACGCGAAGAACCUUACCAAGGCUUGACAUGCACCGGGCGACUGCAGAGAUGUGGUUUUCUUCGGACUGGUGCACAGGUGGUGCAUGGUUGUCGUCAGCUCGUGUCGUGAGAUGUUGGGUUAAGUCCCGCAACGAGCGCAACCCUCGUUCUAUGUUGCCAGCACGUCAUGGUGGGGACUCAUAGGAGACUGCCGGGGUCAACUCGGAGGAAGGUGGGGACGACGUCAAAUCAUCAUGCCCCUUAUGUCUUGGGCUUCAAGCAUGCUACAAUGGUCGGUACAAUGGGUUGCGAAACUGUGAGGUGGAGCGAAUCCCAAAAAGCCGGCCUCAGUUCGGAUUGGGGUCUGCAACUCGACCCCAUGAAGUCGGAGUCGCUAGUAAUCGCAGAUCAGCAACGCUGCGGUGAAUACGUUCCCGGGCCUUGUACACACCGCCCGUCAAGUCACGAAAGUCGGUAACACCCGAAGCCA